rnacentral:rRNA from 1 species
GAUGAACGCUGGCGGCGUGCCUAAUACAUGCAAGUCGAGCGAACAGACGGGGAGCUUGCUCCUCUGACGUUAGCGGCGGACGGGUGAGUAACACGUGGAUAACCUACCUAUAAGACUGGGAUAACUUCGGGAAACCGGAGCUAAUACCGGAUAACAUGUUGAACCGCAUGGUUUAACAGUGAAAGACGGUCUUGCUGUCACUUAUAGAUGGAUCCGCGCCGCAUUAGCUAGUUAGUAAGGUAACGGCUUACCAAGGCAACGAUGCGUAGCCGACCUGAGAGGGUGAUCGGCCACACUGGAACUGAGACACGGUCCAGACUCCUACGGGAGGCAGCAGUAGGGAAUCUUCCGCAAUGGGCGAAAGCCUGACGGAGCAACGCCGCGUGAGUGAAGAAGGUCUUCGGAUCGUAAAACUCUGUUAUUAGGGAAGAACAAAUGUGUAAGUAACUAUGCACGUCUUGACGGUACCUAAUCAGAAAGCCACGGCUAACUACGUG